rnacentral:rRNA from 1 species
UACGGAGGGAGCUAGCGUUGUUCGGAAUUACUGGGCGUAAAGCGCACGUAGGCGGCUUUGUAAGUUAGAGGUGAAAGCCCGGGGCUCAACCCCGGAAUUGCCUUUAAGACUGCAUCGCUUGAAUCCAGGAGAGGUGAGUGGAAUUCCGAGUGUAGAGGUGAAAUUCGUAGAUAUUGGGAAGAACACCGGUGGCGAAGGCGGCUCACUGGACCGACACUGACGCUGAGGCGCGAAAGCGUGGGGAGCAAACAGG